rnacentral:rRNA from 1 species
UAGAGUUUGCUUUUGGCUCAGGAUGAACGCUAGCUACAGGCUUAACACAUGCAAGUCGCGGGGCAGCAUGUUACUGGCUUGCCAGUAAUGAUGGCGACCGGCGCACGGGUGAGUAUCGCGUAUCCAACCUUCCCAUAUCCACGGGAUAGCCUGCCGAAAGGCAGAUUAAUACCGUAUGUUGUCGCACGCUGGCAUCAAAAUGCGACGAAAGGCUUAGCGGAUAUGGAUGGGGAUGCGUCCGAUUAGCUUGACGGCGGGGUAACGGCCCACCGUGGCGACGAUCGGUAGGGGUUCUGAGAGGAAGGUCCCCCACAUUGGAACUGAGACACGGUCCAAACUCCUACGGGAGGCAGCAGUGAGGAAUAUUGGUCAAUGGGCGUAAGCCUGAACCAGCCAAGUAGCGUGCAGGACGACGGCCCUAUGGGUUGUAAACUGCUUUUAUGCGGGGAUAAAGUAUGGGACGUGUCCCAUUUUGCAGGUACCGCAUGAAUAAGGACCGGCUAAUUCCGUGCCAGCAGCCGCGGUAAUACGGAAGGUCCGGGCGUUAUCCGGAUUCAUUGGGUUUAAAGGGAGCGUAGGCCGCCCCUUAAGCGUGUUGUGAAAUGCCGCGGCUCAACCGUGGCACUGCAGCGCGAACUGGGGGGCUUGAGUGUGCGCGACGCAGGCGGAAUUCGUGGUGUAGCGGUGAAAUGCUUAGAUAUCACGAGGAACCCCGAUUGCGAAGGCAGCUUGCGGGAGCACUACUGACGCUGAAGCUCGAAGGCGCGGGUAUCGAACAGGAUUAGAUACCCUGGUAGUCCGCGCGGUAAACGAUGGAUGCCCGCUAUAUGCCAUUUAUGGUAUGCGGCCAUGGGAAAGCUUCAAGCAUCCCACGUGGGGUGAAUGCCGGCAACGCUGAAACUCAAAGGAAUUGACGGGGGCCCGCACAAGCGGAGGAACAUGUUGUUCAAUUAGAUGAUACGCGUGGAACCUUACCCGGGCUAGAAGUGCCAGAUGACGAUACAGAGAUGUUGAGGCCGUUCGGGGCGCUGGCGGAGGUGCUGCAUGGUUGUAGUCAGCUCGUGCCGUGAGGUGUCGGGUUUAGUGCCAUAAUGAGAGCAACCCCUCUCCGUAGUUGCCAUCAGGUGAUGCUGGGCAUUCUGCGGACACUGCCACCGCAAGGUGUGAGGAAGGUGGGGAGGAGGUCAAAUCAGCACGGCCCUUACGUCCGGGGUUACACACGUGUUACAAUGGGGGGUACAGAGCGCCGGCUUGCCGCAAGGAGAGUCCAAUAGCGAAAACCUCCCUCAGUUUGGAUCGGGGUUUGCAACCCGACCCCACGAAGCUGGAUUCGCUAGUAAUCGCGCAUCACCCAUGGCGCGGUGAAUACGUUCCCGGGCCUUGCACUCACCGCCCGUCA